rnacentral:rRNA from 1 species
UACGGAGGGGAGCUAGCGUUGUUCGGAAUCACUGGGCGUAAAGGGUGCGUAGGCGGGUCUUUAAGUCAGGGGUGAAAUCCUGGAGCUCAACUCCAGAACUGCCUUUGAUACUGAGGAUCUUGAGUUCGGGAGAGGUGAGUGGAACUGCGAGUGUAGAGGUGAAAUUCGUAGAUAUUCGCAAGAACACCAGUGGCGAAGGCGGACUCACU